UCCCUGGUGGCUAAGACGGUAAAGCGUCUGCCUGCAAUGCAGGAGACCCAGGUUCGAUCCCUGGGUCGGGAA
rnacentral:tRNA from 1 species